GGAAAAGGAGACGAUUUCAUUCAGACUUCAUGCACCCCAGAAUAAAUGCUCCUAAUGACCGUGGGCUCUCAAGGGCCUGCUGGUACCCGGGUACUCGAAAGUGCAGUGCGGUGGAAAGGGGGGCACCUCCUCCUUCCCUUCCUCCUCUUUU